UAGUAUUUGGAGGCAUGAUGUGCGGGCACCGGUCGGCCUAUGGAACCACCGUUGUGUGCUCCGUGCAUUACGUCGAAGGCAAAUACGCCCCCUAAUCGGUGUCGUCCUGUGGGCACCGGUCGGGCUUGAUAAUCUCAAGCCCGUCGACGACGGUUCGCCUAACGUGAAAGCGUUAGGUGAAAGCGUCGGCAGUAAGUUGGUUGCGUCUGCUGGCUCCAACUCGGGUAGUAGAUUAUCUCUUGAUAAUCUCAAGCCCGCGAUGAUGGUUUUCAGUGAGUUAUCCUGGAUCGUCGUCAACCGGGCUUGAUAAUCUCAAGUUCGUGAUGGGUACCGUCGCUUGUGGGUUCCGUUGCUUCCUGAUCUUGCUUAUAUAUGUGCGUUGCCGGGCUUGUUUCUCAUGCCUCGUUAGUUAUUUGAAUCCAUCGCUUUGCAAACGUGACGACUUGUUGCUUGCGUCUGCUGGUUUGACUCGUUUGUAUGCGGUUGUUAAGGUGAAGGGACUCGUUUCUUUAGGUGACUUGAUCCGACGAUGAUGUUACCGUGCGUACGAUUGAGCUUUUGCUUUUGAUCUAUGGCAUAGCUACGGAUUCGUUAUGGUCUUUGUUGCGCGAGCAACAUGAGCGACCGGUUCCUAAUACGUGGAUAUAUAAGCAAGCGAUGAGGCAAUGGUUCUUACCUGUGACGGUCUCUAUGGUUGGUUCCUGAUGACGGUUUAUAUUCCUGGUUCUCCCAUCGUUCGGGGCAUUCUGGGGCUGUUUUGGCUAUUAGUUGCUUGCUUGGUCUUGAGCCGAUCAGGUGGCUUCUAGUCUGGUGGCUUCGGGGAUGUUAACCGUAAAGGUGGAUGAGUGGUGUUUGGUUUGUUACGUGUGGUUGGCUGCGGCGUUUGCAACAACUUCCAUGCUUUCAGACCUUUUCAGUUGUGCGGCAAGGCUUGUAUCGCCUUGAGCGUAUUGUGGGUUUUCUGUGUUGCAUACCUAAUCAAUGGUAUCGGUUGGAAAUGAUCAAAGUUUCAUUUCGUCUUCCGUCGCAUUCGCGGCGUGAGGUGAACCUUGAUGCGGUCUCUUUGGUCCACCUUGUCGAAGCGCAUGCUUCAACGUUGUGGCACAUUGAGCAUUGCUUGGUCUCUUGUAUACGGAACAUAUAGUGGGCAUGGAUCUAACGAUUCUUGUUUGCCCUCAUAUUAGCGUAUCGCUUCUCUAACACGACUUGCGCCACGUCCUAGCUCGUACGGACGUGGUGCUAGUCAUAA
rnacentral:misc_RNA from 1 species